AUCUAGAGCAUGGAUCAGACUCAAGUAUGCUUGUCCAGAACUCAAAGUCAAAUUUUUCUGCAAACCCUUGGCUGAGAAGUUUUUUGAUCCAGGCUUGACUGAAUUUCUGACGCCAUCAACACCAUUACACACUCUUCGCUGGAACACUGGCAGGCUGAUCUCUGUAGAAAACAUUCAACGAUGCUUGCAGCAUGUCGCCAAACACUUUCAGGACACUCUACACCACGUCACUCUUGAGUCAGGUGUUCGAUUAGAUGCAGACAGCAUUGGAGAACUAUUUAAAAGUCUACACAAAUGUAAACACCUCGAGACGUUGUCGCUACAGUUGACCUGCGAGAAGUCAAGCGACAGAGACGUGUUCUGUCUUGCCAUCCGAGACGCUAUAGCCCAGAGCCCAGUGACCUGCCCAGUUACAUUCAACGGUCAGCAAGUCUAGGCAGGCUGGAACACGUCUUCACUUGUAGAAAUAAACGUGCUGCAUGUUGGAAUAUGUUGGACCCAUCAAUGUUAG